GAUACGUCUUGGAAGCUCUGCGUAGAGCAACUGGUCUUGUAAACCAGUAGGGAGGGUUAGAAUCCCUACCAAGACU
rnacentral:tRNA from 1 species